UGGGUUGUAGCUCAGUGGUAGAGUGCUUGCCUAGCACGUGUGAGGCACUGGGUUCAAUACUCAGCACCACAU
rnacentral:tRNA from 1 species